UACGAAGGGUGCAAGCGUGACUCGGAAUUACUGGGCGUAAAGCGUGCGUAGGGGGUCUGUUAAGUCUGAUGUGAAAGCCCUGGGCUCAACCUGGGAAUUGCAUUGGAUACUGGCAGGCUAGAGUGCGGUAGAGGGUAGUGGAAUUCCCGGUGUAGCAGUGAAAUGCGUAGAGAUCGGGAGGAACACCAGUGGCGAAGGCGACUACCUGGACCAGCACUGACACUGAGGCACGAAAGCGUGGGGAGCAAACAGG
rnacentral:rRNA from 1 species